rnacentral:rRNA from 1 species
AAUGAACGUUGGCGGCAUGGAUUAGGCAUGCAGGUCGAGCGAGAAGUGUAGCAAUACACGGAAAGCGGCGGAAGGGAGAGUAAUACGUGGGAAUCUGCCCUUAGACCUGGGAUAGCAGCGGGAAACUGCUGGUAAUACCAGAUAAUGUCUAUGGACCAAAGGUGUGAUUCCGUCUAGGGAUGAGCCCACGUCCUAUUAGCUAGUUGGUAGGGUAAUGGCCUACCAAGGCGAUGAUGGGUAGCGGGUGGGAGAGCAUGACCCGCCUCACUGGGACUGAGACACUGCCCAGACACCUACGGGUGGCUGCAGUCGAGAAUCUUCGGCAAUGGGCGCAAGCCUGACCGAGCGAUGCCGCGUGCGGGAUGAAGGCCUUCGGGUUGUAAACCGCUGUCGAGGGGGAGCAACUUCCAUAGAGUUAUCUUUAUGGAUUGAGUGAUCCCUGGAGGAAGGACGGGCUAAGUUCGUGCCAGCAGCCGCCGUAAGAC